rnacentral:rRNA from 1 species
UGGGGAAUAUUGGACAAUGGGCGCAAGCCUGAUCCAGCCAUGCCGCGUGAGUGAUGAAGGCCCUAGGGUUGUAAAGCUCUUUCACCGGUGAAGAUAAUGACGGUAACCGGAGAAGAAGCCCCGGCUAACUUCGUGCCAGCAGCCGCGGUAAUACGAAGGGGGCUAGCGUUGUUCGGAUUUACUGGGCGUAAAGCGCACGUAGGCGGACUUUUAAGUCAGGGGUGAAAUCCCGGGGCUCAACCCCGGAACUGCCUUUGAUACUGGAAGUCUUGAGUAUGGUAGAGGUGAGUGGAAUUCCGAGUGUAGAGGUGAAAUUCGUAGAUAUUCGGAGGAACACCAGUGGCGAAGGCGGCACACUGGACCAUUACUGACGCUGAGGUGCGAAAGCGUGGGGAGCAAACAGG